CCAGUCAUUGCGGCAACUGAUGGAGCGCCACCCUGCAACCGGAGGCUCAACGCGUCUUUACAGUUCAAAGUACUGUGGAACAUUUCGCCUUGCUGAUCAAAGCGUCAGAUGUGGACAUUGUUGGCAAAUUCUCUCACGAUGAAGUACCACCUGAAUGAACAAUUGAAGAGCCAUAAACUGCAGGACAAUGAACCGAGUUUUGAGAAAUGGGAGUAACCUGCAGUGCAUUUUGUCUGCACAGACACAGUGGUUGAAUGGCUUUUUGUCACCAGGUUCUGAGAUACACUCUUCCAACAAACCUCAAGCACGUUGGAAGGACAGCACCUCAUCUUCAAACUGGGCCAUAACAGCCUUUAUGACAUUCAAUGUAUUCAAUUAUUUCAAGCCAUCAGCAUUUCCAUCAUGUGGAUUUCACAUUUCUGGAAUUAAGUUUUUGUCCGAUAA